GUGGCCGUGCUGUCCCACUUCGCGUCCGCGUCGACAAGGGCGUUCUCGCCGAACCUGGCGCCGUCGGCGAGGGUGGCGACGGUUACCUCGUCACCGUACUUGCCCACGGAGGUCUGACGGACACGACCGUGGGCGAUCAGGUGGAUCUGCUGGGCGGGGGUGCCGCGUUCCACCAGCACCUCUCCGGCGCGGAAGUCGCGCUGGACGAACCGGUCGGCGAGCGCGGUCAGUACCUCGACGUCAUCGAAACCGCUCAACAGAGAAAGCUCGCCGAGCUCACGAGGGAUCACCCGGACGCCUGCACCGUCCUGGACGAACUCGAUCUCGCCGUCGCCGACGGUGUAGCUCAGCCGGCGGUUGACCCGGUAGGCGCCGCCCUUGGUCUCCACCCAGGGGAGCAUCCGCAACAGCCAACGGGAGGUGAUCUCCUGCAUCUGCGGGGCGGACUUGGUGGUGGUGGCGAGGUUUCGAGCCGCCGCGGUGCUCAGACUGGACUGCGGCGGCGG
rnacentral:antisense_RNA from 1 species